GGGCUUUAAAAGCAGCAAGUUCAACCGAACAGCAUGACCCAUUCCUUCUGAGCUUCUCUCUUCUUCUACCCUCUUGGGCAGGAUGGCUUCACUCUCCUUCUACCUUUAGAAAUGCCUCCCGGGGGCUCCCCUCAUCCCCGUUCACCAAGGCCAGAACCAGCCCAACCCAACCCACACGCCACACUCAGAGGGCCCGCUGAGCCGACGGAUGCUGGCCACCACCAGACCCGUCUCCCCCACGCCUGGCCCCAUGUCCUCCCCCAGCUUGCUUCCUCCGAGGAAGCUGGUGAGUCCUUGAGUUACCGGCCAUGCUCGGGCAGCUGCUGAAGUGAUCUAAGGACACAGUAGUGGCUGAAGACCAAUGGAGAGAUCACAGACUUCAGGCAUGAAGCUGCCUGAUCCUGACAACGCAUUAGCAAACGGCUCUCGUAACUCAGGAGACAGAGCUUCUAAC